CACAGCCUAUCCUUUUCUUUCAAGCCAAUUGAUAAUUUUUGAGUGGUAGGUCUUUUACCGGAUUAUGCUUGGGGAGAACGUGUUAGGUAUGAGCCGACAGGAUUAAAAUUUUGAGUAGUUCUGAUUUUCACUUUCGAAUCAGAUAGGACUAGGUCUGGGUUCUUACUUGGGUUGGGAUUGGAAUGAUUGUGGAAAGAAAGAAGAGAAAUAGAAAAAGUUGUGUCCUUAGGAGGAGAAUGUUUUUCUAGAAGUUUAUACUCUAGUGAUUGAUUUUUGUGGGGAUAGCAUGAUAUACAGAGAAUGGUUCUGGGAUGUAAAGAAAGAGAAAAAGUUUUGAUGUCUUAUAACGUAAGAGGAAAACAGAACCAUAGUAAAGAAGCAACCCCCUAUCCACUAGUAUUAAUAAGAAACUUCUCCUAAGGCAAAAAGAAAAAAAUGGGAUUGAUGUUGAAGGGUAGACAUAAGGAUCAUUCGGGUUUAGAUGAUUAGGAGUAAGCACUUAGGAACCAUUGGGUGGUUAAGGUUUUAUUCUUGUAUGCAUUGUUGGUCCUUACCUUUAACAUUCUUCCUAAAGCUCAAUCCAUUCAUUGAGAGAUCCUUGUCCUGAAAUUGUUUAAACCCUCUUGAUUCUCAAAACCUUUUUCUGUCUAGCCAAGUGAGUUUGUUAAGCCUUGCACAACCAGAUUCAUAUACUUUAAUAAUGAAUGCUAAAAGGAAUGAAUGAUUUGAAUGCAUGUGUAGAUCAAGGGAUAGAAUCAGUUUCGGAUUUGAUGAGUUUGUCUAAAGUCUUUAAGUAAAAUUCUCUCAGCAUGCAUCAAAGACUUAGCAACCAGGACAUUGAUUUUAACUGCUCUAUCUUGCAAGUUACAGAAUCUGAUACCCCAUUUUCAAACCUCUCUUCCACUUUGUUUCUUUUUGCUUUGCUUGAGGGCAAGCAAAGACUAAGUUUGGAGGAGUUGAUAAGUCUGUAUUUCAUCACUUUUUGAGAAUGCAUUCAUCAUCUUUUCAUCAUCAUUCACUUGUUGAUUCGCAUCAUAUUGAUCACUUUCUGCAUGUUUUACAUACUUAGGUAGGUUUUAUGCAUAUCAUGCAUGUCUUGCAUACAUUAUGCAUAUUUGGAGUGUUUCAGGUAGUUAGGAGACAUGUAGAGCGAAGCAUAGGAUCAAGCGUUACUCGACAUGCAUACGAUCGAGUGGGACGAUCGAGUGACAAGCAAGGAUGCAUUGCAGGAACAUACUUCACUCGAUGGACACGAUCGAAUAGGAUGAUCGAGUAGGCAGCAGAGAUACAUUGCAAAUACAUCGACGAUCGUGUGAGCAGCAGACGCAUACUAUCGAGUGAGCAGCAUAAGGGACGCGAAGCAGAACCACCUGUCACUCGAUGCACACACUUGAGUGACAUGAUCGAGCAAAGCAAAGAAGUAGCUGAUGAUUUCACAGAUCACUCGACACGCUCACUCGAGAUACACGGUCGAGUAUGAAAUGAUGCAGAGAAGAAAUUAACUUUUACUCGACACGCUCACUCGACCGACAGGGCCAUUACAACUUUUAAACCGCUUUUACGUUGUCGUUUUAUGUUUAAAGGUUUUCCCAAACAUUGUUAUAAGUAGGUCUCAUUUGGUUUGCCCAAGGGAUGGAGUUUUUAUUAGGUUUUUGUUGUUAGCCACCAAACAAUCCAGAAAAUUAAAAUUCAUAUUUCUUUUGAGUUAUUGAGAUUUUGCAACUAGUUCUUAAA
rnacentral:lncRNA from 1 species